CUUAAAUAACGGGCUAAUUUUGUAGCAGACCUUUUGUUUGAUAUUAUUUAGCCUUGAUUUGGGGCAUGUUUUUGCUGAUGGCCUCUGAUGUAUUCUAGCCUCAGAAAGUUCUCGUUUAAACACAGAGGAAUGUCUCUCUGUCCGUCUGCAGGAGGAGUGUCGUCUGCAGCUGGAGGCUCAGCGCAUCAGUCUGUCUCAGAUCCACGCCGCUCACCUGGAGCUGCUCCGAGAGAGUCUGUGUGCGCAGACGCAGGAGGAGAGGAGGAGAGAGAACGGUCAUCCCGCAGGUCACAUCAAACGCUCUUUCAGAUCCAUUAUUAAGAGAUCCAUCAGCAUGAAAGAGAGAGGCACUGUCAAACGGCUCACUUACUCUGUGCUCAUACCCAGAGAUUAUUUAUGUCAUGGCUGCUAACCGAUGUGAUAGUUAGGAUUGAAUGCAGUCCCAAAAUGAUUGAUUGAAUUGAAAAAACGAAUGAUUGAAUUCCCGAACGUUUUUGUCAGCCGAACACCUUUGAACUAAAAAAAUAAGCGUUAAGUAAUUUAACAGCACGUUCACAUGUUGCAGUGUGAAGCCUGUAAACAGUGGCAGGAUUUCCUCACGUGUUUCUCCUGUUCCUGCAGAGCUCAUGGCAGAGUCUGAGGAGUGCUCUGCGCGUCUGGAGAUCGAGCGGCUGAAGAGCGACUAUCAGCAGCAGAUGGAGGAGACGCAGGAACGCUUCAAGGCCGAGGUCCUCCUGCUGCAGAGGAGACUCCAGGAGCUCACAGGAGCCGGCGAGAUCUUCAGCAUGCCGAGCGUCUAUCCGCCGCUGACGAGAGACGAGCGCCGUGAACAUCUUCAGGAGGAGGAUGAGGAGGAAAGACUGAGAGACGCGUGUCCUCCGGAGGAGCCCCAUCUCAGACGCCUGGAGGAGGAGAUCGCCAAGGUGAUCGUGCAGAUGUCGGUUGAGUUCGCCCAGCAGACCGAAGAGGCCCGGAUCAGCAAACAGGCCCGCGAGACAAGCACCGGCACACAGACGGACGACAGCGAGGAUGAGGAGGAACGACUGAACUCUGUGAGCCUGAUGAAGGUUAGAUCACGUGUACCACAGAUUCCUCAACGCUGUGCUUCACGAGUUCGGCUUUUAUUAUGGAUUUUGUUCAUUUUAAUUCUCAUUAGGAUUCAGAAUUGGGUCAUCAGUGAAUUUUCAGCUUCCUUUAUUGAAUAUAUGAGCUCGUGAGUCUCAGAUUCAUUCUGCAGCUCGAACUAGAUGAACUGUGUGUGUGUAUGAGUGUGAGUGUGUGUGAGUGUGUGUAUGUAUGAGUGUGUGGAUGAUCUGUAGGACGAGUGUCAUUUUGUAGCAUUGAAGCCCUUCAGCUCACAUUUACUGCAUGAAAACACACACACACACUCACACACUCACUGCUUUUAGCUCCAGUGUUUUUGACGAGAUGGGAAUGAGCACGUUAUUUAACCGAUUAAAAACUUCUGUCAGAUUCAUUCUGAUCUUUAAAUUCAUGCAUGUAUGAAUCGUCAGUGUGUUUAUACUGUCAAAGUGAAAUCAGCCAU
rnacentral:lncRNA from 1 species